CAUCGUGUGCCCGGCGCUGUUCCGUGUGCCCGGCGCUGUUCCGUGUGCCCUGUGUGUUAGUUUCUGUGAGCCCCCCAUCCCCUGGGAAGUGGGUGGUGCCUUCAGCCCCAUUGUAUCCGUGGAGAAACUGCACAGCCCAGACUUCGUGAGUCUGGCAGUCAAACUCAAACCGAGGAGUCUCCCUCCAGAUCCAGACUCUUGACGACCCCGCUCUCUGGCUUCCCCUUAAGAGAGUGAAUAAGAAGUUGGUGGGGGAUGUUUGCCGACGUCUAGAGGGAGAUGAAGGAGGAAGAGCCCUGAACGGGGAGCCUGAGGCCUGACUCCUGGUCUCUGAGCAGCCACAACAGUGCUCAGACUAUAACGUCCACGAAAGCAGGAAUUUGGGGCAGUUGCAUCUCUUUUGUUCACUGAUGUCUCCCAAGUGCCUGGAAGAGUGCUUGACACAUGCCCGAGAACUUGCGAACCAAGGUUGGCAUGAGACACACCUGUAAUGGAAAUCUGCCCGACCUAGUCCUCGCCUCGCUCUUUUCUCCACCGCCAGCCAUUCUGCCAUCACCUGCCAAGGGCCUGUCAUCUGUCAGUCACCAGGGACUGAAGAAUCAGAGGUGAAUGAGACGCCAGACCUGCCUUAGGGGAACCCACAGUCUAGGGGGUCUAGAAGGGUGAUUAGGACAGCUCUUCUAUCUCCAGAGGCAAUACAGGAUCAAGAGCUAGAAAAGGCGCACUGGGGGCAUAAUAAUCCAGGAAGAGGGAAUGUGGUGAAACAAGUCAGAGGGGAGAAAGAGCGACUUUGUCUGGCAUGGCUGGAAUGAAGAUCACCUGUGGAGGGGAAGGGAGUGACACAGCUGGUGAGCCAGGCUGAAGGGUCGGGACUGUAUCCUGUAUGUGGUGGGGAACUUCUGGAAGGCUGUAUGCGGGGUCGGCUAUUUAGGAUUAAUAUGGAAGCACGCUGUAGGUGGAUGGGUGAGCCAGGAG
rnacentral:lncRNA from 1 species